rnacentral:tRNA from 1 species
AGCAGUGUGGCUCAGUGGUAAGAACCUGGACUUGAGAGUCAGAGAUAGUGGGUUCGAAUCCCAGCUCUGCCA